rnacentral:rRNA from 1 species
GACGAACGCUGGCGGCGUGCUUAACACAUGCAAGUCGCACGAAGUGGCGAACGGGUGAGUAACGCGUAAUCAACCUGCCCUUCAGAGGGGGACAACAGUUGGAAACGACUGCUAAUACCGCAUACUGAAGGAGGGGAUUGCGUCUGAUUAGCUAGUUGGAGGGGUAACGGCCAACCAAGGCGAUGAUCAGUAGCCGGUCUGAGAGGCUGAUCAGCCACACUGGGACUGAGACACGGCCCAGACUCCUACGGGAGGCAGCAGUGGGGAAUCUUCCGAAAUGGGCGAAAGGCUGACGGAGCAACGCCGCGUGAGUGAUGACGGCCUUCGGGUUGUAAAGCUCUGUUAAUCGGGACGCGGUACCGGAAUAGAAAGCCACGGCUAACUACGUGCCAGCAGCCGCGGUAAUUC